rnacentral:rRNA from 1 species
GUUGAUCCUGCCGGGGUUCACCGCUAUUGGAGUUCGCCUAAGCCAUGCAAGUCGAGAGGGUUCGGCCCUCGGCGUACCGCUCAGUAACGCGCGGAUAAUCUAACCUAUGGUGAGGGAUAAUCUCGGGAAACUGAGGCUAAUACCUCAUAGAUCAGAUAUGCUGGAAUGCUUUCUGGUCGAAAGCUGAGGCGCCAUAGGAUGAGUCUGCGGCCUAUCAGGUAGUAGUGAGUGUAACGGACUCACUAGCCGACGACGGGUACGGGCUGUGGAAGCAGUCGCCCGGAGAUGGAUUCUGAGACACGAAUCCAGGCCCUACGGGGCGCAGCAGGCGCGAAAACUUUACACUGCAGGAAACUGCGAUAAGGGAACUCCAAGUGUCUAUGCAUCGCAUAGUCUGUUUUCCUGUCCAAAAAACAGGGAGAGUAAGGGCUGGGUAAGACGGGUGCCAGCCGCCGCGGUAAUACCCGCAGCCCGAGUGGUGAACACUUUUAUUGGGCCUAAAGCGUCCGUAGCCGGUCUGGUAAAUCCUUGAGUAAAUCGUACGGCCUAACCGUACGAAGUCUGGGGAGACUGUCAGACUUGGGACCGGGAGAGGCUAGAGGUACUCCAGGGGUAGGGGUGAAAUCCUGUAAUCCUUGGAGGACCACCGGUGGCGAAGGCGUCUAACUAGAACGGAUCCGACGGUGAGGGACGAAGCCGUGGGGCACAAACCGGAUUAGAUACCCGGGUAGUCCACGGUGUAAACGCUGCGGGCUUGGUGUUGGGGGUCCUAAGGGGGCGCCCAGUGCCGGAGAGAAAUUGUUAAGCCUGCCGCCUGGGGAGUACGGUCGCAAGACUGAAACUUAAAGGAAUUGGCGGGGGAGCACCGCAACGGGAGGAGCGUGCGGUUUAAUUGGAUCAACGCCGUAAAACUCACCGGGGGAGACUCUUACAUGAAGGUCAAGCUGAUGACUUUACCUAAUUUUGAGAGAGGUGGUGCAUGGCCGCCGUCAGUUCGUACCGUAAGGCGUUCUGUUAAGUCAGAUAACGAACGAGACCCCAAUCCUUAAUUGCCAAGCUUCCCUCAGGGGGAGCGGAACAUUAAGGGGACCGCUGGUGUUAAAUCAGAGGAAGGCGGGGCAACGGUAGGUCAGUAUGCCCUGAAUCCCUCGGGCUACACGCGCGCUACAAAGGACAAGACAAUGGGUUCCGACAUCGAAAGGUGAAGGCAAUCCCGAAACUUGUUCGUAGUUCGGAUUGAGGGCUGUAACCCGCCCUCAUGAAGGUGGAUUCCUUAGUAAUCGUAAGUCAACAUCUUACGGUGAAUAUGCCCCUGCUCCUUGCACACACCGCCCGUCAAACCAUCUGAGUAGGGCGAGGAUGAGGGUUUAUCCUCUUGGUAAAUUCGAAUCCUUGUUCUGCAAGGAGGGUUAAGUCGUAACAAGGUA